GCCCGCGGCCCCGCCCCCUGGGCCCCGCCAGGCGCGCCGCGGGCGCACGUGACGGACAAAUCUCCGUGAGCCGCUCGUGCGUGCUGGUUCCGCGCCGGUCCUGACUGUGACCAAUCCCAGGCGUCGACAGCUGCAUGGCGAAACACGGUUGGAUAUUCGCGGCGUGGAGGGGCGGGAGCUGCAAGGGACGCUGCGUUCCCAUUGGCCUUUAAUAGCGAACCUUGGGUGUUGCGGAGCUUGGGCCGUGGUGACCGUGUUUAGCUGUUUCGUUUGGAGGACGCUUUGUGUUCGGAGGCUGUGGCUGUCCGGCUACCGGAAGUCCCCAGGGCUUUUUGAGUCAUGACUUUGUCUUGUAAAGUGUGAUUUGCACCAGAACGGGGGAAGCAGUGGGUCACUUGUGGCGCUGGGAGCCCGCGUGCUGUUUCCAGCCGGCAUGAACCGAGUGUCUGUUGCCUGCCCGGCCUAAAAGGUGCCUAACUUCCCCGGUUGUACCAGUUAGAGUAGCUGCUGCUCCGCGCGCUCACAGGCGUCGUCGCCCUUCCCCGCGAUGGUUCGGUGCAGUGGAAGGAAUCCUGAGCAAGGAACUGGAAGAGUGAAGCCAGAGGUGAACUGCAAUAGAAGUAUCUGCCUACAUUUUUAUCCAGAUGUGUUGAUUUUCCUCAAAUUUGGAAUGACCCAAAGAACAUUAGCACAUGGUGGAAUUCCUUUCUGAUCAACAGGCGCAGCUAUCAUUUCCUCCUCUUGUGAUCUGCGGUAUUCCAUGGCGUGCAGACAGCGGGGUAUAUGCAACCAUUCUGCUGCUGUUGAGCAUCCACUUUGUUUCAAAGCUUGUACUUAUUUUUUACUCUUGAAAGAUGCUUCAAAUAAAAAAGUUCUAAACAUGAAUCCUUAAAUGCUGCUGCUUUGAUUUCUCUGGAUUAGUGAAUUCAGACUUUCAUGUAUACUUUGCAUAGCAAAUCUAUACUUUCCAUUACUGGGCCAGCGUAUGAAAAGAGAAUCCUGAUGAUAAACGUGUUCCACAUCAGCGCCAGCAGAAUGCUAUUGUGUACAUGUCCGUGGCUGUGACGCUCCUAGCAACCAGAAAUGUCAUCAUCAUGCUUCUAUGGCAAUAGCAAAUGUUUUAGCCUGACAAAGGAAUCUCAUAUUUGGUGCUCAGGGAGAUUUCACCACUGCACAGAAAUGAAAGGAACUACCUCUGUUCUUUUCAUAUUUUUAUAACAUAUUAAUGCAAUGCCAGAAAAGUAAAUUUUAUUGUGAUUUUGGGGGCAUUGAUGGUUUAAGAUAUAUUCUAUGGUGCUUUUGGACCAUUUUUUUCUCUUUUAUUUUUCACUAAAUUGAUUUGUAAUUGUCAGUAACUAUCUAGUCCUACUAGGCUGUGAGAAAAGAAAAAGAGCUAGUAUUUAUGGAGACAUUAAUGGAAAUUGAGAUCCAGAGAAGUUUGAUCAUAUUCUCACCAGUUUGCAGUUAAUAUGUUUAUGUAUAUGUUGGUUUGGUUCAGAACUUUUCUGUAGAGACUAGUUGAAAAUAAAGAAUCUGUUGUCAUCUAUACAGGAAUGUCCAAUAAAAUUGUUUUCUUCUGUGAUGACUGUUUUGAUGGUUUUUAAAAUACCAAAAUCUGCGGCAAACGACAUUCUUCCCUUUUACACAAACAAAAACAUGUUUGCUUCUCCUGCUUUGCCUACAGCUUAGUUGGUAACUGAAUACUCCAGCCCGAGUCUUGUUCUGACCACGUAGGUCACUUGGAUCUUGA
rnacentral:lncRNA from 1 species